rnacentral:lncRNA from 1 species
UUGAAACUAACGGAAUCUGAUGCUUGUGAAUUCAAAAGCCUAGAAACGUCGUAGGUAUAAUGAUCUGAAAUUGCAGAAUUACCGAAUUCCUGCAAUUCAGUAUUAACGACGUCGUAAUUGGAAUUAUGGGCAUUAGGUUUAACGAUAUCGCCUUGAUUAUCGAUAAUCGGCGAAAUUGAAUCGCCGUUAGGGCUACAAACAUCGGGGAAGAGAAAAUCCUCAGCGACAUCAUCGAACGUGAUUUCGAAAUCAUCAGUAUCGCAGAAAUCCAUAGCGAAAUCGAGAUCUGAGGCGAAGGUAUCAGUGGGUAAAGCGUUAUCAUCGAAGAGCGAGUCCAUGGAGGGGAAAGGGAAGUUGCUGAAUUGGGCGGCGAAAUCGUCGAAGCAGAGAUCGGAAGAAUUUGACGGCGGCUCCGGCGGCGGUUGUGGUUGUGCGGCGAGGAUUGGGUCAGGCAUUGGGUGAAAUUAGGGUUAUGGAGAAUGGAAAGAGAAUGAAGGAAGAAAGGUUUCAACGAAGAAGAAGACUCUAGAGUUUGGGUUUUAUGGAAUUUGAGGUUUGCUAUUUUAAGAUUCUCGCGCGUGGAAUCACGACACGUGAAAACUGGGUGCAAGGUUAUUGAUUUCAUAAGUCAAUGUUUUUAUGAGAAAAUGAGAAAACAAUAUUUUAUGUAUCUUACAUUUAAUUAUAUAUUAAGUUUAUAGACACAAUUUAGAACUUAAUAAAUGAUAUAGAAAUUGAGCAUAAUUUGAUUAAAUGACUAUAUCAAAUAUUCAUAAUUAAUUUCUCAUCAUAAGUUCUGAAUAAUUAAUAAGAAAGGGUAAUACAUUGAAAAUUAGAGAAAUAAUAGCUUUAUCACGAUUCCGCACCUGUAUCGAAAAAAUUAAGAAGAGAGUAUAUAUUGGAAAAUAAAAAAAAUAGAGAAGUAGUUAAGAGUGAUUAAUAAAUCUAUCUAUUACCUAUAUAACAAAAAAAUGUCCCUCAUGACAUAUGUCAAUCUCCCAAGUCCUCAUGACAUGUGUCAAUCUCUCAAGCCCUCAUGACAUGGACAUGUGUCAAUCUCUCAAGCCAUCAUGACAUGUGUCAAUCUCUCGUCAAAACUAAAUGUCCAUCAUCAACAUUCCCUCGAAAACAUGUCAAUAUUUCAUUUUUGUUCAUUGUACAAUUUAAUUCUAAUGAUUAAUGGACUCAUAUGUUUUUUAUUCCAUGAAGAAAUUACAUCUCAUAAUAAAGGGGUUGAAUCUCUUUUCACAUGUGAAUUACUUCUCCAUCAUUAUCAUUUCAUAUCUCCAUAUUCUUCUCCUCCUUUCAUUUCAUAUUUCUCUUUUCUUCUCUCACCUAUAUAACAAAAAAAGGUCCCUCAUGACAUGUGUCAAUAUCCCAAACCCUCAUGACAUAUGUCAAUCUCUCAAGCCCUCAUUACAUGUGUCAAUCUCUCAAGUCCCCAUAACAUGUGUCAAUCUCUCAUCAAAAAUAAAUGUCUGUCAUCAACAUUCCCUCCAAAACAUGUCAAUAUUCCAUUUUUGUUCAUUGUACAAUUUAAUUCUAAUGAUUAAUGGACUCAUAUGUUUUUUAUUCCAUGAAGAAAUUACAUCUCAUAAUAAAGGGGUUGAAUCUCUUUUCACAUGUGAAUUACUUCUCCAUCAUUAUCAUUUCAUAUCUCCAUAUUCUUCUCCUCGUUUCAUUUCAUAUUUCUCUUUUCUUCUCUCACUAUUUGACAUAACUUAGACAAAUAUGCAACACAACAAAAGUUAAGCAGCAAUUAAUAUGUCCGAAUGUGAUGCUAGAACUUGAGCAUGAUUGAAAGAGGUGAACAAAAUGAAGAUAUUUCUUCAGUUCUUGUAUUUAGCACAGCACAAUUUAGAUUAUGGCAUAAGAAAAACUUUUCUCAAGUACAAUAGUUAGGCCAAAAAGCAUCAAUUGGUGGGCUAUUACAUUAAAUUAAGUACUUCUAAAACCAAGAUCAAACUAAUCUGACACUCCAAAGGAGUCCAAGUUGUAUCUUAACCAAAUUUGGAAGACCUAUGUAGCAAAAGGAACUUACUGCAAAAAUAUUUACGAGAUACAAGUUCAUAAUUAGCAGACAGCAAGAUAAUUUUGUUGUCAAGAGAUAACCAAGGAGCAUCCAAAGCAAAUACAAGACAUGUUAGCUUAAUCAGCAUCUCCAAGAAAAGUUCAACACAAUUGACAGCCUUAGUUCUAAACAUGUUAUAUGUGCUACUAAAUUCAGAUUAAACAGCAACCAUGACGACAUAACAUAAUUCAAAAGAACACGACACAUCAUUCCUGCAUUGCUUUAAAGAGCAAAAGUCGGAAGGAAAGACUGAUAAUCACCUGCAACGCCUUCACGGAACCACUGUUGCAUUUUACCAUCAGUUGCACUGGACUUCAUAUGGUCCUUCAAAGUUUUGGUUGAACCAGAGCCAAGAGCCUUCCUCUGUUCAUGUGAAACCCUAUACAUGUGAGGAUGUUGACCACUAUUUCUUCCAGCUUCAGGAAUAGCCAAUGCAGAAUUCGGAAUGGCCAAACCAGUCUCUCUCUUGUCCUUCUUCACCUGAGACUCCAUUUGAGAUGCCAUAGUUUUCUCACUGGCCAUGAUGGAAUGGAUUAUCAAGUUUCCAUCAAUCUUCACCAGCUUAUCAUUCCUAGGAACAUACAAAGAAGCAACAAGAGGCUCACUAGCAUUGCCGCCCGGACGAACAGAUUCAUCCGAAUGCAGGUCAUGCCGUUCAUUUGACUCUUCUAGCUUCCUUCGCCUCUCAUAAUUCCUUUUAUCAGAAAUACUAAACCUUCCAUCAGAAAAUCCUACAUCCUCAUCCCUUUCAGAUUCAUUCCUAUGACCACCAUUUACAGGCCAAACCUUUCCUCCACCCUGGCCAUACACCCACCUAUCACUUACAUAGCUAGACCUACCAGUUAGAUUGUUCACUAAACCUCCAAACUUAACAUCCACCAUAGGAACAAGACCACCAAAAAGCAUGAUAAAGAAAAACAAACCCAACAAACUAAUGCUAGCAACCUUCUUAGUUUUCACCUCACUCUUCUUACCCACUGACUUCUUACUCUUUGGCGCCGCCGCAGGUUGCUGAGGCCUCAAUCGAGGAAUAGGAAUAAGCGGAACCUGAGACCCUUGAGGCUUGACAACAUAGGGAGCACAAGGCAUCCAAGGAUAAGGCAUGGGAGCCAUAGGGGGAUGAGGGUACAUCCCAGCACCAGCACCCAAUUGCUGCCUUAGAGUAGCAUUCUCAGCCAUAACAAAUGAGAUCUUGCUACUCAAAUCAGCAAUGGUUGAAUUCAUUGCCUUCACCUUCUCCUCAAGCUCCUCCACAUAAUGCUUCUUCCUCUGCCUAGAAAGGUGUGCACUUUCCCUAUUCCUCAUCAACCUUGCCUUCCUUUUGUCUUCCUCAUCAUCAAUACCAUUCACAUUAUCACCGGAAUCAAUUUUUUGGGUCUUGUUCUCCACAUGCACAAAUGAUGAUUUCCUACUCUUGGUAAUUCUAGUUUCAGCACUUUCUUCACUUUGUUCUUUCUUCCUCUUCAGAUCACAACCCUUUCCAUUUUCUUCCACUUUUAUACCCUUAUCAGCAUUUGCAUGAGAUGAAAUGUCUAUGUAACGAUCAGAAUCAGAUGUGGGCGAGUUCAUGGCUUCAUAUCCCGACCCAAUAUUUCCCGAACCCUGAGAAGAAACGGGUCCAUUCGAAUACUCUUCUUCAGAAUCUGUUGACUGCAUGCUCGAAACUUUAACAUCAACAGAAUUCAGAGAACCUUGAUUACCAGUAGAAUUAUCUGCUGGAGAAAGCUCCUUCUUGAAACUAACGGAAUCUGAUGCUUGUGAAUUCAAAAGCCUAGAAACGUCGUAGGUAUAAUGAUCUGAAAUUGCAGAAUUACCGAAUUCCUGCAAUUCAGUAUUAACGACGUCGUAAUUGGAAUUAUGGGCAUUAGGUUUAACGAUAUCGCCUUGAUUAUCGAUAAUCGGCGAAAUUGAAUCGCCGUUAGGGCUACAAACAUCGGGGAAGAGAAAAUCCUCAGCGACAUCAU